rnacentral:rRNA from 1 species
AACGAACGCUGGCGGCAGGCUUAACACAUGCAAGUCGAACGCAUCCUUCGGGGUGAGUGGCAGACGGGUGAGUAACGCGUGGGAACGUGCCCUUCAGUUCGGGAUAACCCAGGGAAACUUGGGCUAAUACCGGAUACGUGCGAGAGCAGAAAGAUUUAUCGCUGAAGGAUCGGCCCGCGUCUGAUUAGCUAGUUGGUGGGGUAAUGGCCCACCAAGGCGACGAUCAGUAGCUGGUCUGAGAGGAUGAUAAGCCACAUUGGGACUGCGACACGGCCCAAACUCCUACGGGAGGCAGCAGUGGGGAAUAUUGGACAAUGGGCGCAAGCCUGAUCCAGCCAUGCCGCGUGAGUGAUGAAGGCCUUAGGGUUGUAAAGCUCUUUCGUCCGGGACGAUAAUGACGGUACCGGAAGAAGAAGCCCCGGCUAACUUCGUGCCAGCCGCCGCAGUAA